AUUGAACGCUGGCGGCAGGCCUAACACAUGCAAGUCGAACGAGUGGCGGACGGGUGAGUAAUGUCUGGGAAACUGCCUGAUGGAGGGGGAUAAAUACUGGACACGGUAGCUAAUACCGCAUACCAUCGGAUGUGCCCAGAUGGGAUUAGCUAGUAGGUGGGGUAACGGCUCACCUAGGCGACGAUCCCUAGCUGGUCUGAGAGGAUGACCAGCCACACUGGAACUGAGACACGGCCCAGACGCCUACGGGAGGCAGCAGUGGGGAAUAUUGCACAAUGGGCGCAAGCCUGAUGCAGCCAUGCCGCGUGUAUGAAGAAGGCCUUCGGGUUGUAAAGUACUUUAAGUGGGGAGGCGUUACCAACAGAAGAAGCACCGGCUAACUCCGUGCCAGCCGCCGCGGUAAUAC
rnacentral:rRNA from 1 species